UGAAUUCUACACCCCACUCUGACAAAGAGGUCAGUGAAUUCUACACACCACUGUGACAGAGAGGUCAGUGAAUUCUACACCCCACUCUGACAAAGAGGUCAGUGAAUUCUACACACCACUGUGACAGAGAGGUCAGUGAAUUCUACACCCCACUGUGACAGAGAGGUCAGUGAAUUCUACACCCCACUGUGACAGGGAGACCCUCUUCAUUAUUAACAUCAUCUCCAUGAAUACUUGAUGAAGGUGAGCUCAUGUCACUGUUCCCUCUCACUGUUUCCUCUCACUGUUCCCUCUCACUGUUCCCUCUCACUGUUCCCUCUCACUGUUCCCUCUCACUGUUGUCUCUCACUGUUGUCUCUCACUGUUGUCUCUCACUGUUGUCUCUCACUGUUGUCUCUCACAGGGACAGGGGGAUACCUCGUCAGUUGUACAACUGAAUGCAUUCAACUGAAAUGUGUCUUCUGCAUUUAAUCCAACCCCUCUGAAUCAGAGAGGUGCUGUUAGUUGCCUUAAUCUACUUCCACGCCAUC